GACGAACGCUGGCGGCGUGCCUAAUACAUGCAAGUCGAGCGGACCGGAUUGGGGCUUGCCUUGAUUCGGUCAGCGGCGGACGGGUGAGUAACACGUGGGCAACCUGCCCGCAAGACCGGGAUAACUCCGGGAAACCGGAGCUAAUACCGGAUAACACCGAAGACCGCAUGGUCUUCGGUUGAAAGGCGGCCUUUGGGCUGUCACUUGCGGAUGGGCCCGCGGCGCAUUAGCUAGUUGGUGAGGUAACGGCUCACCAAGGCGACGAUGCGUAGCCGGCCUGGGAGGGUGACCGGCCAAACUGGGACUGAGACACGGCCCAGACUCCUACGGGAGGCAGCAGUAGGGAAUCUUCCGCAAUAGGCGAAAGCCUGACGGAGCGACGCCGCGUGAGCGAAGAAGGCCUUCGGGUCGUAAAGCUCUGUUGUGAGGGACGAAGGAGCGUCGUUCGAAGAGGGCGGCGCGGUGACGGUACCUCACGAGAAAGCCCCGGCUAACUACGUG
rnacentral:rRNA from 1 species